GAGUAACGCGUGGGUAAUCUUCCCUCUGGCGGGGGAUAACCUUCCGAAAGGAGGGCUAAUACCGCAUAAGACCACGACUCCGAAAGGAGACGAGGUUAAAGCUGGCCUCUAUACAUAAGCUAGCACCAGAGGAUGAGCCCGCGGCCCAUCAGGUAUUUGGUAGGGUAACGGCCUACCAAGCCUAAGACGGGUAGCUGGUCUGAGAGGAUGAUCAGCCACACUGGAACUGAGACACGGUCCAGACUCCUACGGGAGGCAGCAGUGGGGAAUCUUGCGCAAUGGACGAAAGUCUGACGCA
rnacentral:rRNA from 1 species